GCUGUCACAAUUUAUCAACAAAGGGACUUUAAUGCAAUUUCUCUUAAUUCUGCAAUGUUCUAAAUCAAAGUUAAUGAAGGAUGUGCUGCUCUGCUCCCUCGAUACUACUAUGGAAAACUUUUCAUUGAACAAUGCAAUCCAGUUUCGGAAAGAUGCAAGAGAUGUUGGAGGUGACUAUGAAUAAUACUACAAAGAUCUUUACAUCGAUGGAACACACAGAAAAUGAAUAUAUGAAAUUGCAUUGAUAGUUAAUAGUCAAAAGUUGGAGCUACUAGCAGUUAAAAGACAUGCACAGUUUACUUUUAAUAGUGAACUAGAAAGUGGAAAGCAUCAGUAACAAUUUUCAUUUGCAAAUUAUGUAAAGCAUAAGCAGAUUAUGAUGAAUAAUAUUACUUCUUUAAAGAGGUGGAUAAUACAAUGACCAUGGAUGAAGUGUUGCCUCCCCUAUGAUCCUUAGGCACAGUAUAACAUUUCUAAAUGCAAGAUGCUGUGAAAAUACUGGAAAAAUCAAAAAAUGAGAACCCAAUGGCAUGUAUCAGUGUGUUGUUGCCUCCUUUAUGAUCCUUGGACAUUGGAUAACAUUUCUAAAUGCCAGUUGCUGUGAAAUUACUGGAAAUUAAAAAUAUUAAGAAGAAAAAUGUUAAUUUCAAUAUAUCAACUGUAGACAGGUACUAAAGUGUUUCUUUU